CUAAAACUAAAAUACUACAAGAUUAAAGGAUAGGUUUCUUUUCUGUGUUUACCUACAGGAGAUGGAAGAAGGGAUUAUGAUAUGACACUUACUAGAGAUGAAACCGAUAAAGGAGCUCCAGGUGUUCCACAGAUUACUUUGAGAAGCGUGGGAUCUAUACAUCUUUGAAGAAAAUUCAAUUAAUUCUUUGAGUUCUCCUAUAAGAAAUUGUUCUGCCUGUCGGAGCACUGUGUGUUUGCCUAAUUGAAAUAAGCCCACCCCAAUCCUCUUGCACAUGUAAGGUGGCCCAGGUAAAGUUCAGAGCAUGAGGACAACCUACGUGCCAUUAUACGAGGAGUAUUUUGAAGAACAGAGGUUCACCAUGAUGAUUCUGUAGGGGUGAGGGGUUUGCAAGCUCAUCUAUCCUUUGUUGGAACUCUCCAACAUUGAGAGGUAGAGCUGAAAACCAGGAGCUGUGCUGUCGCCCAGAGCCUUGAUGCACCAAACUUCCUUAGAACACGCCUCCAGGUUGGUGAUGGACUGUUAUGCUUGCAGCACUCACAGAUCUGCCUGAAGGGUUCCCACGCGGAGGAGACAGAGUCAAGGAGGCACUGAUUUGAUGAUCUGGAUUCUCGUCAAAACUCAUGAUGUGAUGGGGGCAAAGGGGACUGAGGAUUUUCAGAUUUUUUUCCCCACAUCCCCGAGUUCACUCUCAUGGUGGCUGCCAGGAAGCCAAAUUACUAUUGAAUUGAUGAUCUGUAGCAAUGUCCCUGCUCUCAGACAGUGGUGAAAACAAUCAGAAAACAGGGAGGCAGCCUGCUGUAGUAGAAGGAACAUGGGUCUUAAACAACCCACAUGCCUUGGCUUGAAUCCAGGCUUUACUUAUCUAUCUAUUUAUUUAUUUAUUUAUUUUAGUUGUGUGAGUUUGGAGAAUUUAUCUAACCUCUUUGAAUCUUUUUUUUUUUUUUAACAAUAUGUAUUUUAUAAUAGUUACUAGAGGACCAGAGAUAACGACUGUAAAGCAUUCAGUUUAGUUUUUGGUUUAUAGAAAAUUUCAGUAAAUAGUGCAGCUUAACGAAUAGCAAGGCUUAACAGUGGAUGCCAGGGCAAGCUGUGGUUAACUAGGUUAACCCAAUUUAGCAUGGUUUCUAUGUGACACCCUUACAAUUUUUUUUUUCCCUUUGAAUAAAUAGUUCUAAGUUUAAAACGA